rnacentral:rRNA from 1 species
UACGAAGGGGGCUAGCGUUGCUCGGAAUUACUGGGCGUAAAGCGCGCGCAGGCGGCUAAUCCAAGUCAGUGGUGAAAGCCCGGAGCUCAACUCCGGAACUGCCAUUGAAACUGUUUAGCCUGAGGACGAGAGAGGUGAGUGGAAUUCCAGUGUAGAGGUGAAAUUCGUAGAUAUUGGGAAGAACACCGGUGGCGAAGGCGGGCUAGCACUGGCUCGGUAUCUGACGCUCGGCGACGGAUAAGCGUGGGGGAUCAAAACAGGG